rnacentral:rRNA from 1 species
UACGGGGGGGUGCGAGCGUUGUCCGGAAUCACUGGGCGUAAAGGGCGCGUAGGUGGUUUGAUAAGGGUGUGGUGAAAGUCCGGAGCUCAACUCCGGAUCUGCCGUGCCGACUGUCAAACUCGAGGGCUGUAGAGGCAGACGGAAUUCCGGGUGUAGCGGUGGAAUGCGUAGAGAUCCGGAGGAAGACCGGUGGCGAAGGCGGUCUGCUGGGCAGUUUCUGACACUGAGGCGCGCAGCGUGGGGAGCAACAGG